UCUGCUCAAUGUAUUUUAUAAAUAGCUGCAUCAUAUGUACUAAGGUAGCGUAAUAAUUUGCCUUUUAAUUGAAGGAUUGUAUGAAAGAACACACAAGAAAUAAACUGUCUCUUUUUAAUAUUUAAAAAUUAAUUUACAAGUGAAAAAGCUUGUAUUUAAUAAAUAGACAAGAAGACCCUGUUGAGCUUUUUCUAGAAAAUAAUAUCAUAGAUUUUGUUGGGGCAACAAAAAUUUUUUUUUAUCAAUUUUACUAAUUUAGAAUACACUCUUUUUAAUAAUCUUAUUUAAUAAAAAUUUUAUAAGUUACCACAGGGAUAACAGGCUAAUUUUCUUAUAGAGUACAAAUUAACAAGAAAGAUUGGCACCUCGAUGUUGGCUUAAAGUUCCAUCUAAUUGUAGUA
rnacentral:rRNA from 1 species